CGUGUAGGCGGCCAAACGGGUCAGGUGUGAAAGCCCUCGGCUUAACCGAGGAAGUGCGCCUGAAACUAUUUGGCUCGAGUGCAGGAGAGGAGGACGGAAUUCCCAGUGUAGAGGUGAAAUUCGUAGAUAUUGGGAGGAACACCGGUGGCGAAAGCGGUUCUCUGGACUGCAACUGACGCUGAGACGCGAAAGCGUGGGGAUCAAACAGGAUUAGAUACCCUGGUAGUCCACGCCGUAAACGAUGGGUACUAGGUGUUGUGAGCUUAACACUCGCAGUGCCGACGCUAACGCAUUAAGUACCCCGCCUGGGGAGUACGGUCGCAAGAUUAAA
rnacentral:rRNA from 1 species